rnacentral:lncRNA from 9 species
UAGACUGGGGCUUGGGGCCAGGGUGCUGUGACUAAAGGAAUGGAGGUGGCUCUGCUGCUAAGACCAGGAUUUGUCCACCCCAGGUCUGGCUCCAGGCUGUAGUGUGGAGUGGGCAGAGCUGGAGCACUCCCACUGGGGAAUGAUCAGCUGCAUACUCCCACCCAGGGCUGUCUACCUGAGACUCAGCAUCCAGCAGCUAUGUGUUUCUGUGGUGCCACCCAAGGCAUGCACCAGUACUUUCUGCUGCAGCUGCCUUUCUCUCCUGUGCCUGCUGACAGUGGUCUCCCUGCUUCCCCAUGGACCACACCCUAGUCUGUUUCCAUGCAGCUAGAUUGAGUCUUCUCCCUGGGUCUGUCUGCCUGAGAUUCAGUGCUUAGCCACUACCUGUGCUUGUGGUGCCACUGGUGCAUAUCCUGACAUUGUCUACCCCGUCUGAUUAGUCGUCUCCAUGUGUGUGCUGAACAUGGUCUCCCGGUUGCCAGGAUCAUACCCCAGAUGGUCUGUCUCUGCACAGCUAGCCUGAUCCUCUGCCCUGAUCUUGUGCCAGGUUGUGGUAUGGAGCAAAGGGGCUGGGGUGUUCACUCCUUUGGGUUGGGAAGUGUGUUGCGGCACUAGUCUCUCUCUUUCCUGCAUGUGCAUACCCUUCAGAAUAAAGUAUAGACUUCUCCAUCCACCCUUAAACCAUCCCAGGAGAUUUCCCAGCAGGCAAGUGUACUUCCCAGGACGAGGAUCUGCCCAUGUGGACCUUAUCUCCCUUAAAGGUUCCUCCACGGGAACCAGCCCCAUCCUGAUCCUUUUUAAUUUUUUCUCCCCUACCCAGUUUCGUGAAGGUCUUUCUUUCAGCUUUGGUUGUAUAGGAGAUCUUCUGCCAAUUUCCAAGUGGUGUUCGGUGAGCAUUCUUCCCCAUGUAGAUUUUUGAUGUGUUUGUGUGGGAAGGUGAGCUCCACAUCCUCCCACUCCUCCAUCCUGAUCCCCAUCACCUUUGAAUUUUCGAUGUGAUAAAUAUUUUGUAAUUAGAAAGGUUAUUCAAAAUCAACGAGUAGGCAGUUAUAUGUCUCAGAGAGGACGUUUAUUGGAAAGAAAAGAAGAAUCAGUUACUUGAAUUGUAAUCACUAAACAUUACUAUAUAGUUUCUGAAACUGUUUCUGUGAAUAACUUGUUAAAUUAUCACCUCUAAACAUCCCUUUCUCCCACAUACCCACUCAAUAAUGUCAAAAUAAAGAUAUCUGUUUUGGGUAUUUUCUUCCUUAAGCCUUUUUGUCAUGCCCCGCAAACCCUGUGGAUCUUUUUUGCUUUUUUAAACUGCACUAAAAUAAAUGUUUGUUUUUAUAUUUCUGUUACUCAGAAUUUACUAUUUGUCUUUUCUCCUUCGUCUUCUAAUAUAUGUCUUUUAAUUUCUAAUAUCCUAGUGAAAGUAGC